rnacentral:rRNA from 1 species
GGCAAAGCUCAAAUUUGAAACCUUCGGGAUUGUAAUUUGAAGAUAAGGUAUUGGAGAAAGCUAACCCAAGUUGCUUGGAAUAGUACGUCAUAGAGGGUGACAACCCCGUCUGGCUAACCGUUCUCCAUGUAUUGCCUUAUCAAAGAGUCGAGUUGUUUGGGAAUGCAGCUCAAAGUGGGUGGUAAACUCCAUCUAAAGCUAAAUACUGGUGAGAGACCGAUAGCGAACAAGUACUGUGAAGGAAAGGUGAAAAGAACUUUGAAAAGAGAGUGAAAUAGUAUGUGAAAUUGUUGAUAGGGAAGGAAAUGAGUGGAGAGUGGUUGAGGUUUCAGCUUACCUUUGGGUAGGUGUAUUGCCAACGCCGAGUCAUUGACAGCGAGACGGCGGUU